AGAAACGUAAAUAUAAAGCAAAAAAAAAAAACCCAAAGAAGAAGUUUGAUUAAGCACAUCUCUGAUAUAGGCUAGUAGUGGAGCGUACGGCUCGGUGGAGGCGAGCGACGUGCGGGGGAGGUGCGCUGGGCAUGGGCACGAGCAGCAGCUUGCCUGAGGGUUUUCCUUUUGAUGGAAAAAGAAAUUAAGUUAUUGGGCUAAAAACUUGGGCUAGGGUUUAGUCUAUUUUUUGUAUUUUGGGCUUAAAACUGGACUGUUUGGUUCUUUAGUUUGGGGGUUGUAUUUUGGGUUUUAACAGGUUUUGGGCCGGGCAAAAAAUUAGGUCCAACAAUUAUCAUUAAAAGAUUUGAGUAAUGUUUGGGUUGAAAUGUUAAAAGAUAAAAAUUUAAUGAGUAAAUUACAGUAAUGUUACUAAA